rnacentral:rRNA from 1 species
CCUACGGGCGGCUGCAGUGGGGAAUAUUGGACAAUGGGGGGAACCCUGAUCCAGCCAUGCCGCGUGUGUGAAGAAGGCCCUCGGGUUGUAAAGCACUUUCAGUGAGGAAGAACGCCUGGUGGUUAAUACCCAUCAGGAAAGACAUCACUCACAGAAGAAGCACCGGCUAACUCCGUGCCAGCAGCCGCGGUAAUACGGAGGGUGCGAGCGUUAAUCGGAAUUACUGGGCGUAAAGCGCGCGUAGGUGGCUUGAUAAGCCGGUUGUGAAAGCCCCGGGCUCAACCUGGGAACGGCAUCCGGAACUGUCAAGCUAGAGUGCAGGAGAGGAAGGUAGAAUUCCCGGUGUAGCGGUGAAAUGCGUAGAGAUCGGGAGGAAUACCAGUGGCGAAGGCGGCCUUCUGGACUGACACUGACGCUGAGGUGCGAAAGCGUGGGUAGCAAACAGGAUUAGAUACCCUAGUAGUC